rnacentral:rRNA from 1 species
AUUGAACGCUGGCGGCAGGCCUAACACAUGCAAGUCGAGCGAGCGGCGGACGGGUGAGUAAUGUAUGGGGACUGCCCGAUAGAGGGGGAAACCAAUGGUAAAGGUUGGCAAUACCGCAAACUAUCGGGAAACCCCUAUGGGAUUAGCUUGUGGGUGAGGUAAUGGCUCACCUAGGCGACGAGCCCUAGCUGGUCUGAGAGGAUGAUCAGCCACACUGGGACUGAGACACGGCCCAGACUCCUACGGAGGCAGCAGUGGGGAAUAUUGCACAAUGGGCGCAAGCCUGAUGCAGCCAUGCCGCGUGUAUGAAGAAGGCCCUAGGGUUGUAAAGUACUUUCAGUCGGGAGGCGUUACCGACAGAAGAAGCACCGGCUAACUCCGUGCCAGCAGCCGCGGUAAUAC